GCAAAGGUACCACUACAAUGUUGCGGAUGUUAGGCUUGAACAGCAUAUAGAGAAAGGAAAUGAGGACGGUUUACUUAUUAGCUGUGUCGCAUCUUGUUCAAAUCUGUGGGCCUUGAUUAUGGAUGCAGGCACUGGUUUUACGGCCCAAGUUUAUCAACUCUCACAGACUUUUCUCCAUAAAGAAUGGAUAAUGGAGCAAUGGGAAAAGAACUACUAUAUUAGUGCAUUAGCAGGAUCAAACAGUGGCGGCUCCUUG
rnacentral:misc_RNA from 1 species